UUAGGUCAGCCUCAGAUUUACAUUCUUUUAUAUAGAGCGGGUUUAUUAUGUUGCUAAAAUUCUUCCAAGAUCCAUUCUAAACCUUUGCCUCCUUUUAACAUCCAGAAGCAAAGAUGCAAAAAAGCAGCAACAGGAUUUUGCAAAUGCAUUUGAUGUGGCUCCUCUUUGCCUGGUUUGAAGAAUCCAGCAGGCAGAUUGUUAUCACUCAGACACCUGCUUCUGUGACGGUGCUUCCAGGAGAGACUGUCACCAUUCAGUGCAAGGCAUCCAGCUCCAUGGGUGAUGAUAUGGAAUUAUAUCAGUUCAAAUCAAUACGAGCUCCCAAUCUCCUUAUUCAUACUGCAAACAACCGUUUCACUGGGGUCCCGGAUCGAUUCAGUGGUCGAUACAGCGGCACUGACUUCACAUUCACCUUUGGUGGGGUGCAGGCUGAUGAUGAAGGUGAAUACUACUGUGGACAGCAGUACAGCACCCCAUUCACGGUGAUACAAUGCAAUACAAUUGGUUAAACCACCAACAAGCUCACGGUGUGAAAGGUGGGAAGUAUCUUUGCCUGUGACUAUACCAGUUUAUAGGGAAAUUUUAACUAGAGAAUAAUUAUUAUAGAAGAAUUUUAUGGGUCUUUUGGAGAUUAGUGCCCCAUACAGUCGUUUUGGUGAAAAAUAACUUUUUCAGUACCUAAAUUACCCAUUAGCAGAAGGAAAGACUGAGAUUCACUUCCCUGCAUAUCAUCAGAGAAUUUAUGUGAGGCCAGAUGGAGAAGUCCCCAGCUCCCAUUUUGACAGCCCAAUAAGUGGACAGUAGAAUUGGUUUAAAAAAUUGGGGGGGGAGGGGGUUUCCAAUGCAAUUUCAAUGAAAAUUUCAUCAGAAAUCCUUCAGUAUCCCAGGAUAUAUUGACCAUUCACACUGUGGCUGGUGUUCCAAACCCUGCCAUAAAUGGAUGUCAGUUUAUCAGAAUACUUUGGUAUUCUAGAACCAGAACCAGAUUUCUACUUAAUUAGUGCCAUGAACAUCACUCCAUAAACAUGAGCAUAUUUCUCUUGUUAGUGCUACUCCUACUUCAGGACACUGAGACUUGUAUGCAUCUGUGCCCUCUUAAUAAUAAAGCCCUGAUGAAGCACCCAGGAAGCCUGUUGAAUAUAGUUGAGCCCAGCCUCAGAUUUACAUGUGUGACCACAAAUACGUCUUACAUUUUUUCCCCAGUAAUUAUAAACCGUGGCUGCAUUUUAGCUAUUUGUGUUGAGAAAUUAAUCUAGAAGGAAAAUGAUUUUGCAAAUGUAUUUGAGUUAACUCCUCUUUUCCUUCUUGGAAGGUCAGCUGUGCAGAUUUCUAGGUUCUUCAUCUUUAAAUCAGUCCCCUCAAAAUAAUGUUCAUUAAAAAUCUGUUCCUAGAAUCCAGUGUGCAGAUUGUUAUCGCUCAGACACCUGCUUGUGACAGUGCUUCCAGGAGAGAGAGUCACCCUUCAGCGCAAGGCUUCAUGUUCCAUGAGGGAUGAUCUGAAUUUAUAUUUGUUGAAAUCAGGACAGACUCCCAAACUCCUCAAACAUGAUGCAACUGUUUGAUUCAGUGUUAGAUACAGGGGCACUGACUUCACAUUCACUAUUAGUAGGGUUCAGGCUGAUGAUGCAGGUGAAUACUACUGUGGACAGGACUAUGACACCCUGCUCACAGUGAGACAAUUCAACACAAAAACUUCUUCACUGUCACAACCCUUUUGCAGUGAAGCAGAAGGAUACAGCUGUGCAUGUUUCUAGAUUAAUAUACUUGGAAAGUUUCAUUUGAGGAUAAUAAUUACAAUGUCACACUUCCAUUGUAAUCAGGUUUAUGGAUUUGUUCCUCUUACAGACAUUUUUGGAUAAAAUUAAUUGUGUUCCACCUGCCAAGCCCACAAUCACACAGUCCCAUGACUUUCUAUAAAUGGAAUCUGAUUGCCUUCCCCCCCCCCACAAAAAAAUAAAUCUCAAUGCAUUUUUCAGGAACACCUCAAAUGAAUUCUCUGUCUAUACCAUCACCAUUACGAUGUGCAGGCUGAAGAUGCGGGAGAAUACUAUUGUGAACAUGACUAGGGUUCUGAUUUCACACAGUGAUACAGUUCAAUACAAAAACCCGUUCAUGCCAGAGCACACUGGGUGUGAAGCCAAUGAGGGCAGUUGGGGACGCUUAUGAUUCAGUUGGUUUAGAAUAUUUAAACUGGGAGUAGGUUUAGAAA